rnacentral:misc_RNA from 1 species
AAGUCGUAACAAGGUCUCCGUUGGUGAACCAGCGGAGGGAUCAUUACUGAGUUAUCUAAACUCCAACCCUAUGUGAACCUUACCGUCGUUGCCUCGGCGGGCUGCGUCUACCCUGUAGCUACCCUGUAGCUACCCGGUAGGCGUGCUACAAGCCCGCCGGUGGACCACUAAACUCUGUUAUAAAUACUGUAUCUCUGAAUGCUUCAACUUAAUAAGUUAAAA